rnacentral:rRNA from 1 species
ACGGAAGGCAGCAGUGAGGAAUAUUGGUCAAUGGGCGAGAGCCUGAACCAGCCAUCCCGCGUGCAGGCAGAAGGUCUUCUAGAUCGUAAACUGCUUUUAACCGGGAAUAACGUUACCUUCGUGAAGGUAAGUGCAUGUACCGGUUGAAUAAGGAUCGGCUAACUCCGUGCCAGCAGCCGCGGUAAUACGGAGGAUUCGAGCGUUAUCCGGAUUUAUUGGGUUUAAAGGGAGCGUAGGCGGGAAGUCAAGUCAGCUGUGAAAUGUAGACGCUCAACGUCUGCACUGCAGUUGAAACUGGUUUUCUUGAGUGCGUAAGAGGCAGGCGGAAUUCGUCGUGUAGCGAUGAAAUGCUUAGAUAUGACGAAGAACUCCUAUUGCGAAGGCAGCUUGCUGGGCCGCAACUGACGCUGAAGCUCGAAGGUGCGGGUAUCGAACAGGAUUAGAUACCCUGGUA